AACGAACGCUGGCGGCAGGCCUAACACAUGCAAGUCGAGCGAGGACUUCGGUCCUAGCGGCGGACGCGUGAGUAACGCGUGGGAACGUGCCCUUUGCUUCGGAAUAGCCCUGGGAAACUGGGAGUAAUACCGGAUGAGCCCUUUGGGGGAAAGAUUUAUCGGCGAAGGAUCGGCCCGCGUUGGAUUAGGUAGUUGGUGGGGUAAUGGCCUACCAAGCCGACGAUCCAUAGCUGGUUUGAGAGGAUGAUCAGCCACACUGGGACUGAGACACGGCCCAGACUCCUACGGGAGGCAGCAGUGGGGAAUCUUAGACAAUGGGGGAAACCCUGAUCUAGCCAUGCCGCGUGAGCGAUGAAGGCCUUAGGGUUGUAAAGCUCUUUCAGCUGGGAAGAUAAUGACGGUACCAGCAGAAGAAGCCCCGGCUAACUCCGUG
rnacentral:rRNA from 1 species